rnacentral:rRNA from 1 species
GACGAACGCUGGCGGCGUGCCUAAUACAUGCAAGUAGAACGCUGAAGGAGGAGCUUGCUUCUCUGGAUGAGUUGCGAACGGGUGAGUAACGCGUAGGUAACCUGCCUGGUAGCGGGGGAUAACUAUUGGAAACGAUAGCUAAUACCGCAUAAUAGCAGUUAUUGCAUGAUAACUGUUUGAAAGGUGCAAUUGCACCACUACCAGAUGGACCUGCGUUGUAUUAGCUAGUUGGUGGGGUAACGGCUCACCAAGGCGACGAUACAUAGCCGACCUGAGAGGGGGAUCGGCCACACUGGGACUGAGACACGGCCCAGACUCCUACGGGAGGCAGCAGUAGGGAAUCUUCGGCAAUGGACGGAAGUCUGACCGAGCAACGCCGCGUGAGUGAAGAAGGUUUUCGGAUCGUAAAGCUCUGUUGUAAGAGAAGAACGAGUGUGAGAGUGGAAAGUUCACACUGUGACGGUAGCUUACCAGAAAGGGACGGCUAACUACGUG